AGAGUUUGAUCAUGGCUCAGAAUGAACGCUGGCGGCGUGCUUAACACAUGCAAGUCGAACGGGACUGGGGGGGCAACUCCUCAGUCGAGUGGCGGACGGGUGAGUAACACGUGGGUAACCUGCCCGGAAGUGGGGAAUACCUCGGGGAAACUCGAGCUAAUACCGCAUGACAUCUUCGGGACGAGAGUCCUGACGAUCAAAGCGGGGUCGCAAGAUCUCGCGCUACCGGAUGGGCCCGCGCCCGAUUAGCUAGUUGGCGAGGUAAUGGCUCACCAAGGCGACGAUCGGUAGCCGGCCUGAGAGGGUGAUCGGCCACACCGGAACUGAGACACGGUCCGGACUCCUACGGGAGGCAGCAGUGGGGAAUCUUGCGCAAUGGGCGAAAGCCUGACGCAGCAACGCCGCGUGGAGGAUGAAGGCCCUUGGGUUGUAAACUCCUGUCGGCUGGGAAGAAAUCGCGCGGGGCUCAUACCUCCGCGCGUUGACUGUACCAGCAAAGGAAGCCCCGGCUAACUCUGUGCCAGCAGCCGCGGUAAUACAGAGGGGGCCAGCGUUAUUCGGAAUUAUUGGGCGUAAAGGGCGCGUAGGCGGCCACGCGUGUCUUUCGUGAAAUCCCUCGGCUUAACUGAGGACGUGCGGAAGAAACUGCGAGGCUGGAGUCCGGGAGAGGGGGGUGGAAUUCCCAGUGUAGCGGUGAAAUGCGUAGAUAUUGGGAGGAACACCGGUGGCGAACGCGGCCCCCUGGACCGGUACUGACGCUGAUGCGCGAAAGCGUGGGGAGCAAACGGGAUUAGAUACCCCGGUAGUCCACGCCGUAAACGAUGGGCACUUGGUGUCGCGGGUAUCGACCCCUGCGUGCCGAAGCUAACGCAUUAAGUGCCCCGCCUGGGGAGUACGGUCGCAAGGCUGAAACUCAAGGGAAUUGACGGGGGCCCGCACAAGCGGUGGGAGCAUGGUGGUUCAAUU
rnacentral:rRNA from 1 species